CAAGAGUGGUCCCGCUGUAGUGACGACCUCCGACUGCCACGACAACACCUUCCACUAUGGCGAUUAUUGUUAUCGUUACGAGAAGACGGUUAAAACCUUUGACGAUGCCGAGAAGUUCUGUCUUGCCCGGGGAGGCCACCUGGCUAGCGUCCACUCCGAGAAAGAGGCCCAAUUUGUGUAUGAUCACUCACGGACCUCACAAUCUGCUUUCGUGGGACUCAAGAAGACGACGGGCGACGACUACGAGUGGAGUGACGGAACAAGUUUUGACUACAAGUGGAAACAUGACACCAAGGGGGACUGCGCGUUCCCAAAUUCUGUUGGGGAGUUGAGUGCCAGCUCCUGCACAACGGAGCGGCCAUUUGUCUGCAAAACAGCCAAGCACGGAGGGCUUCCACAGCUGCC